rnacentral:misc_RNA from 1 species
AAGCAGYACGUAAGUAMGUAGGUCWYYAGGUAGYGSAUCUACUGUGUGUGCAAUAUGUUAUUGUAAAUCCUGUCCACCCCCGUGGAUGGGUAGUCGGCAAAACUCGGACUGUCAUAAGAAUUGAAACGCUGGCACACUGUUGGGUCCUGAGGCAACACGUUGUGUUGUCMCCCUGCUUGGUGGUGGGGUGUGGACUUUGACUUYUAAGUGGUUGCAACAAAA